CUGGGGGCGGCGUGACACGGCUCGGGCCCGCCAGUGCCCCAACGGGGCCCUAGUUAUUAGGGCCCGAGCGUAGCUGCUAAGCAGCUGCGAGAGCCCUAUUAUUCCCCAAGGGGUUUUUCUUUGUUUCUUUUUUCUUUUUCCUCCCCUUUGAACUGGAAAAUGGCCCACUUCCCACUGGCGAAAACUCAUGAAAUUUGGCAGGACGACCGGGCCUGGUGAAAAAUUUGAUAUUCCGAAGUCGCCCAAACAAGAAAAUGCAAAAUGGCUCCAUAGCGCCCCCUAAGGUGAAAAUUCACACUAUUGAGUGUCACGCCUGUACGCUUUGUCAAAAUGACACAAAAUUUGACACACACAUGUAUCUCAAUAAGAUCUACAAAAAAGUCAGUGCGGGCGUAUCUGUCAAAUGUACGGUUAAAGGGUUAUUUCGCAUUUUUUGCUGAUCCGCACACAUUGGAAUUUCGCUAACUCCUCCGAAGGCUUUCGUUCCACCGGCACCACAUUUGCUCAGGCCAAUCUACACCCCAUGGCCAUUAAAAGUUAUUCAAAUCAUGACGCUGCACCCCACGGUUUAGGUUCUAGGGGGCGCCAAAGAUAACCCUAAAAUCCACAUAUUUAAAAGUCUUAUAACUUUUUAUUUUUGCCCUCACUGGCCUCCAAGUUUUCUAGGAUGAUGCAAUGUCCAGCCAUCAACACAUUUGUGAAGGAAUUUUUACUCCCCAAAAGAGCGCCCCCCCAUGGCAGGAGAAAAAAGUCCAUUUUUUCUUGUCCCCUAAGGUGAAAAUACACAUUGUUGAGUGUCACGCCUGUACGCUUUGUCAAAAUGACACAAAAAUUGACACACACAUGUAUCUCAAUAAGAUCUACAAAAAAGUCCAUGCGCGCGUAUCUGUCAAAUGUACGGUUAAAGGGUUAUUCCGCAUUUUUUGCCGAUUCGCACACAUUGGAAUUUCGCUAACUCCUCCGAAGGCUUUCGUUCCACCGGCACCACAUUUGCUCAGGCCAAUCUACACCCCAUGGCCAUUAAAAGUUAUUCAAAUCAUGACGCUGCACCCCACGGUUUACGUUCUAGGGGGCGCCAAAGAUAACCCAAAAAUCCACAUUCUUAAAAGUCUUAUAACUUUUUACUUUUGUCCUCACUGGCCUCCAAGUUUUCUAGGAUGAUGCAAUGUCCAGCCAUCAACACAUUUGUGAAGGAAUUUUUACUCCCUAAAAGAGCGCCCCCCAUGGCAGGAGAAAAAAAUCAAUUUUUUCUUGUCCCCUAAGGUGAAAAUACACAUUGUUGACUGUCACGCCUGUACGCUUUGGCAAAAUGACACAAAAAUUGACAAUCAUGUGUAUCUCAAUUAGAUCUACGAAAAAGUCAAAGAGCGCGUAUCUGUAUAAUGUACGGUAAAAGGGCUAUUUUGCAUUUUUUGCCGAUUCGCACACAUUGGAAUUUCGCUAACUCCUCCUAAGGCUUUCGUCCCACUGACACCAAAUAUGCUCAGGCCAAUCUACACUCCAUGGCCAUUCAAAGUUGUAAAAAUCAUGACGCUGCACCCCACGGUUUACGUUUUGGGGGGCGCCAAAGAUGACCCAAAUAUACAUUACAGUAGACAAAGUAGUUUUGCCCACUGAGUGGCGCCAAAGGGACUUGUCUGUGGAGUCUGUGAGUCACUAUUGGCCGUUUUUGACUACUUUAGAUUUUACCUUUAUAUUUCCUCUUACAAAAUUUUUACCUUGCCUUGCCUGGUAUCAUUUUUUUCAGCACAACCUCACCUGUGUCAAUUUACAGUUAUUUUAUCAUUUUGACAUACUAUAUUUACACAUUGGACCCAAAUUCACACACAAAACAUAAAAUCCGAGUGGAAAAAAGUAACGUUUUUACUGUGAAAACCACAAAUAUGUGUGAUGAACUGUUUUUAAAACUUAAACUUCAAAUAAAAAUUGUAAACUUCAAAACAUAUGCAAAUUUUUAACAAAGAACAUAGUAAUUUACCUCUAUUUACAUCAAAAUGCAGGCAAUGGCCCAGGUGUUCUUUGUAAAAUUAUUUACAAAACACUGUAUAGUCUCACAAAUGUCACUUUUUAUUUAUGCCACUACAAAAAAACAUGAUGUAAAUGAUGCAUGAUGUAAAACAUGAUGUAAAAAACUUGUGUAUAUCCUCCUCUAUGUUAGUCCAUGUGUAAUUUUUCCAUAAUUCUUUGUUUUUUGCAGCAUUUUUGUUAGUGUAACUGCAGAUUGUGCUGACAGUGUCUAUGGCAAAAAAAAAAAAAAACUGAAAAUGCCUCAACAUGAACCCCUGGUGGUCUCUGAGGGUGAAACCUGCUAACUGCUGCAGAUCUGUCAGCUUCAUGCAGAGCUCGGAGCACAUGUGUGGCUCUGCACCCUUAGCAGCGUUGCUAACUCCUCAGUAAGGAAAGCCUGCUUCAUGUCAGAGUCUCUAAACUCCAGAAGAAGUCGAUAAAAGUCACUUUCUUUCUAAAAAAAAAGUCGUUAGGGGGUCUGAAAAGUCAUUGAAUCUAACAACAAAGUCGCUAGGUUUGCAACUACGUGUCCCAGACUGCAUCCCUGCUGAGAGUCCCUCCCUCCCUUCUCAUAUUGCAGGAAGAACGUAAGCACCCGCCCCUUGUCAAUCAGUCACCAUAUAAUUUUGGAUUGGUUGUUGUGGUGAAGUUUUCCACCAAUAGGAGAGAUGUUGUGGUGUGUUUUCUUUUUCCUUUGGCAAGCCUUUUCCGCCUGUAAGACCUGUCGCUAAUGUCUGCAUGCUAUGUUUUCCUGUCUCAUACAGCGCGAUCGAGCGCCGAACGUGAUCAAAAUAAGCAGAAAACAAGUAUCGGGGACAUAAUUUAUCAUAACUCUGGUUUUAUUUGGCCUAUCAACACAAUUUAAAAACUGGUAUAUAGGUUGAGGUCCUCACUUUUGAGAUAAGUUGAAACGGAGUCAACGAGGCUCCGUCUUGCAGCUACAUCCGGUUAAAUAUGUCAUGUGACUUGAACGCACACACACACACACACACACACACACACACACACACACACACACACACACACACACACACAGACACACACACACACGCACACACACACACUCAGAGUCUGGUUUUUAGCACCUGCAAAAACAUGCUAUUUACAUAUUUGACAAGAAUGCAGAGGCUCCUUUUGCCCCUGAAAAAAAUCAAAUUUCAAACACAACUUGACUGGUCAUUUCUCCAAAAGACAACCAUGAAGCUCCAUCCAAACCUGAAGCAGGCAGUUGGUGCAUGUGUACAGUAACCUGAGGGGAGUGAGGUGACUGCUUCUGAGGAGAACAUGAGCAGUGAAGAUUCACCUUAGAGCUAGAACAGAGACGUGCACAUGAUUAUACAGGGGCAGGGGCUCAAGUUUUUUCCACUUGUUUAUACAAUAUGGAAAUUAAUGUGAAAUUAAAAAACAAAGUAUUAAUAGAAAGGUAAUGACUGUCCUGAGUAGGUGACAGUGAUAUCCAAUAGGCUAGGCACUCAAGAGGCUGGCUGUGGCAAGUGUAAGUGAAAGCAACACGCACUGGCAGGAAGAACAGCAAACGCCGAUGAAGGAAAAGGGUCUUUGCAGUGAUGGGUGUUACCAGAGAGGGCGAUGGCCAGAGGACACGAAUGGGACGGGGAGGCAGCGCGUUGGGGGGGGGACGCGACACAGCUCGGGCCCGCCAGUGCCCCAACGGGGUCCUAGUUAUUUUUCCUCCCCUUUGAACUGGAAAAUGGCCCACUUCCCACUGGCGAAAACUCAUGAAAUUUGGCAGGACGACCGGGCCUGGUGAAAAAUUUGAUAUUCCGAAGUCGGCCAAACAAGAAAAUGCAAAAUGGCUCCAUAGCGCCCCCUAAGGUGAAAAUUCACACUAUUGACUGUCACGCCUGUACGCUUUGUCAAAAUGACACAAAAAUUGACACACACAUGUAUCUCAAUAAGAUCUACAAAAAAGUCAGUGCGGGCGUAUCUGUCAAAUGUACGGUUAAAGGGUUAUUUCGCAUUUUUUGCCGAUCCGCACACAUUGGAAUUUCGCUAACUCCUCCGAAGGCUUUCGUUCCACCGGCACCACAUUUGCUCAGGCCAAUCUACACCCCAUGGCCAUUAAAAGUUAUUCAAAUCAUGACGCUGCACCCCACGGUUUAGGUUCUAGGGGGCGCCAAAGAUAACCCUAAGAUCCACAUAUUUAAAAGUCUUAUAACUUUUUAUUUUUGCCCUCACUGGCCUCCAAGUUUUCUAGGAUGAUGCAAUGUCCAGCCAUCAACACAUUUGUGAAGGAAUUUUUACUCCCCAAAAGAGCGCCCCCCCAUGGCAGGAGAAAAAAGUCCAUUUUUUCUUGUCCCCUAAGGUAAAAAUACACAUUGUUGAGUGUAACACCUGUACGCUUUGGCAAAAUGACACAAAAAUUGACACACACAUGUAUCUCAAUAAGAUCUACGAAAAAGUCAAUGCGCGCAUAUCUGUUAAAUGUACGGUUAAAGGGUUAUUCCGCAUUUUUUGCCGAUCCGCACACAUUGGAAUUUCGCUAACUCCUCCGAAGGCUUUCGUUCCACCGGCACCACAUUUGCUCAGGCCAAUCUACACCCCAUGGCCAUUAAAAGUUAUUCAAAUCAUGACGCUGCACCCCACGGUUUAGGUUCUAGGGGGCGCCAAAGAUAACCGUAAAAUCCACAUAUUUAAAAGUCUUAUAACUUUUUAUUUUUGUCCCCACUGGCCUCCAAGUUUUCUAGGAUGAUGCAAUGUCCAGCCAUCAACACAUUUGUGAAGGAAUUUUUACUCGCCAAAAGAGCGCCCCCCCAUGGCAGGAGAAAAAAGUCCAUUUUUUCUUGUCCACUAAGGUGAAAAUACACAUUGUUGAGUGCUACGCCUGUAUGUUUUGUCGUAUUGACACAAAAUUUUACAUACACGUGUAUUUCAAUAAGAUCUUCCAAAAAGUCAAUGGCCACGUAUCUGUAAAAUGUACGGUUAAAGGGUUAUUUUGCAUUUUUUGCAGAUUCGCACACAUUGGAAUUUCGCUAACUCCUCCGAAGGCUUUCGUUCCACCGGCACCACAUUUGCUCAGGCCAAUCUACACCCCAUGGCCAUUAAAAGUUAUUCAAAUCAUGACGCUGCACCCCACGGUUUAGGUUCUAGGGGGCGCCAAAGAUAACCCUAAAAUCCACAUAUUUCAAAGUCUUAUAACUUUUUAUUUUUGUCCUCACUGGCCUCCAUGUUUUCUAGGAUGAUGCAAUGUCCAGCCAUCAACACAUUUGUGAAGGAGUUUUUUCUCGUUAAAAGAGCGCCCCCCCCUGGCAGGAGAAUAAAGUCAAGUUUUUCCUGUUCAUCAUUCAAUGGCUCAAACGCACUGCUCUCUCGGCAAAAGCGAAAGGAGGAGCAACUUGCCAUUUGGAUAUAUCUUAGCUGUGUUUGUGCCCUCACUCAUGGUCCAGACUUUUUUCAAAUAGGACAUGGAGUUUUUCUGCAGCGAGCGCUUUGGUAGAAACUGCGCCUCCCGUUCAUUAUAAUGGUAAAUGACCACAAACAAGUGCGCACACCAUCUUUGGACCUUGAGUGUGACGCGAUCGGGUGGGGGAGGCGGUCGCGCUGGGGGCGGCGUGACACGGCUCGGGCCCGCCAGUGCCCCAACGGGGCCCUAGUUAGGGCCCGAGCGUAGCUGCUAAGCAGCUGCGAGAGCCCUCUUGUUCCUGCAUGUUUCCUUCUUUUGUUAUUAGGGCCCGAGCGUAGCUGCUAAGCAGCUGCGAGAGCCCUAUUAUUCCCCAAGUGGUUUUUCUUUGUUUCUUUUUUCUUUUUCCUCCCCUUUGAACUGGAAAAUGGCCCACUUCCCACUGGCGAAAACUCAUGAAAUUUGGCAGGACGACCGGGCCUGGUGAAAAAUUUGAUAUUCUGAAGUCGCCCAAACAAUACAAUGCAAAAUGGCUCCAUAGCGCCCCCUAAGGUGAAAAAUUCACCUGACGCCUGUACGCUUUGUCAAAAUGACACAAAAAUUGACACACACAUGUAUCUCAAUAAGAUCUACAAAAAAGUCAGUGCGGGCGUAUCUGUCAAAUGUACGGUUAAAG
rnacentral:lncRNA from 1 species